CAGAUCCACUUCAAGCAGUUGUAAUUCAUCCUUGGUGCAGUGUAAAAGUUACACUCCAAUGUAAUACUGAAUGAUGAGAGAAGAGCACAGAACUCAUCCUCAGCAGAGGAGGGACGGCCGCCUCCUCAGCCUCCGUGUCCCACCGCCACCCAGUGCCCUACAUUCAUACAGGCAUUGCUGUGCGGUGUGGUUCAGCAGCAAGCAGCUGUGGCGGGUGCCAGGCUUCACUGCUAUGCAGCUCCAGAUGUUCCCACACAUUUUGUCAGGAGGACGCUAGGCCUCCAACUGAAGUGCCCAUGAACUUCCCUCUACCCCACGUCCACUUCUUGUUCCACAGAGGUACAACACCUGAGCACUUGUAGUGCUCUUACAGAUGUAGGAAUUGAACAUCAAAACACCUUACAUGCGCUUGGAAAACAGAACAGCUUUCUUACGGUGUAGAUUUGGAAGAAAAAUGCAAAUAGUGAAAUGCUCUUUUGAUGACUGAUGUGCUAUGACAGGACCUGGUAAAUCCCCCGGGCCUGUCUGCCCUUUCAUAUUUGAGGCCUUAAGGUGAUGAGAUGGGGAAAAAGGGAAACACUGAAAAAAUCAGGCCUACUACCAAGAGCAAAUUAGCAUCUUCUCACCAAAGCUUUGCCACUGAACUUGUUCCUGAAGAAAAGAAUACUUAACAUUUUCUUUGGGGCAUUCUAUAAAGCUGGGGCUCCUCCUCAUUUCUUAUUACUGUCCCAUUUCUAACUGAGGGAAAUCAUUGUUCAACCUUUUCUCUGGCAUCAUUAUUCCCUUAUGCUAGGAAAGCGUUCCAGUCUGUGCUCUGUCUAGAGAGCAUUUCUGCUGGGUGCGAGCACGCACUUUACACGUGCCUUUUAGUAAACUGUACAUUCUGGGGAAGUAUUUGUCACAUAUGAAGAGUCUAGACUACCCAGAUGAGACCAUUACGUUGUCAUCUGGCCAUAACCCAAAACAAAUAUUAUCCCUCCCGUGACUACAUUAGACUAAUAUCACUAAGUCCUUAAAUACUCCCAAGCGUUCUUGUUUCCUCCUGGCUUGUGCCCUGUUCCAUCAGAGUGAAGCAGGCUCGUGCACUGUGCUGCAGCUCUGAUGAGGAAAUGGGCCAUUUGGUGGCAUUUCAGCCCAUUUGCUACACACAGCCUUGGACAUGGUUUAAGACAUGGCGCAUGCAGGAACUUGUGUUGUUCCAGGAUCCCUGUGCAGCAGCAUAGAAAAUAGAAUUAAAGGCCCUAAGACUUUUAUUACCAGGCAGAGGAGCGGUCAUCUUCUCUUCAUAAUGACUAAAAUGAAUACAAAUAAGAUUUAGUAAUAACUGAAGUUGAAGGCCAAAAUCUAAUGUGCCAGUUACCAACACAUACAACCAGGGACAGCAGAGAAUAGAGUUCAGGAUGCAGCCUGACCUACCUCCCAGAUGAGUAUGUGGACAUUGUGUGGAACAUCUUUGAACAACUGUGGCAACCUGAAGAAGUUCCUGA
ensembl:lncRNA